AGAGUUUGAUCCUGGCUCAGAGCGAACGUUGGCGGCGCGCCUAACACAUGCAAGUUGAACGCGAUAGGUCUUUGGAUCGAGUAGCGUGGCGCAUGGGUGAGUAACACGUGAGUAAUCUUCUCUUGGGUCUGGGAUAACACUGUCGGAAGACGUGUUAAUACUGGAUAAGACCACGUUGCCUGUGGGUGAUGUGAGAAAAGACGGGGAUUUGAAAGAACCUGUCGCCGAAGGAUGAGCUUGUGGUCUAUUAGCUAGUUGGCGGGGUAAUGGCCCACCAAGGCUAAGACGGGUAGCUGGUCUGAGAGGAUGAUCAGCCACACUGGAACUGAGAUAUGGUUUAGACUCCUAUGGGAGGUAGCAGUGGGGAAUUUUGUGUAAUGGGCGAAAGCCUGAUGCAGCGACGCCGCGUGUGCGAUGAAGGCCUUUGGGUCGUAAAGCACUGUUGACAGGGAAGAAAGCUCGUCGGAUAAUAUCCGGCGAGGUUGACGGUACCUGAAAAGGAAGCACCGGUUAACUCUGUGCCAGUAGUUGUGGUAAUACAGAGGGUGCAAACGUUGCUCGGAAUUACUGGGCGUAAAGCGCGUGUAGGCGGUUCGUUAAGUCGUCUGUGAAAGUCCAUGGUUUAACCAUGGAAGUGCAGCCGAUACUGGCAAACUUGAGUUCUGGAGAGGUGGCGGAAUUCCCAGUGUAGAGGUGAAAUUUGUAGAUAUUGGGAGGAAUAUUGGUGGUGAAGGCGGCCACCUGGACAGAUACUGACGCUGAGACGCGAAAGCGCGGGUAGUAAACAGGAUUAGAUAUCCUGGUAGUCCGCGCUGUAAAUGAUGAACACUAGGUGUUGUGGGUAUUGAUCCCUACAGUGCCGACGUUAAUGUAUUAAGUGUUCCGCCUGGGGACUACGGCCGCAAGGUUAAAACUCAAAGGAAUUGACGGGGGCUCGCACAAGCGGUGGAGUAUGUGGUUUAAUUUGACACCAUGCGUAGAACCUUACCCGGUCUUGAUAUUGAGGGAAAGGCUCUAGAAAUAGAGUCCCCCACCUUUGGGUGGCCCAAAGACAGGUGCUGUAUGGCUGUCGUCAGCUCGUGUUGUGAGAUGUUGGGUUAAGUCCCGCAACGAGCGCAACCCCUGCCAUUAGUUGCCAGUGAGUAAAGUCGGGCACUCCAAUGGGACUGCCGUCGUUAAGACGGAGGAAGGCGGGGAUGACGUCAAGUCCUCAUGGCCCUUAUGACCGGGGCUACACACGUACUACAAUGGACGGUAUAGAGCGUUGCAAGCUCGUGAGAGCAAGCGAAUCGCAGAAAACCGUCCGUAGUUCGGAUUGCAGUCUGUAAUUUGGCUGCAUGAAGCCGGAAUCGUUAGUAAUCGCGGAUUAGUAUGCCGCGGUGAAUACGUUUCCGGGCCUUGUACACACCGCCCGCCACACCAUGGGAGUGGAUUGCACCAGAAGUGGGUGUGCUAACUGUAAGGAGGCAGCCCCCUAAGGUGUGGUUCAUGACUGGGGUGAAGUUGAAAUAAGGUA
rnacentral:rRNA from 1 species